UUCCCAGAAUGCCUUUGGGGGAUGAAAACAGGAAGUGCACUAAUGUUGCCAUGUGAGAGGAAGACAAAAAGGCAGGAUGGAGGAUGAAGGAGUGCUUCGCAGGGAGGUGAUAGAAAGGGCAGGUCACCCACACCGACAGACUGAAAUAUCACAGCUUGCCCGGGGCUCGUCAUCGUCUCCGAUGCUUCCAGGGAGUUUGUGACAAGUCAGCGGUACACGGGAUUUUCCUUCUCUUCUUUUCUCCCCAGAUGAGUGCAGAGUCUUCUGACCACAACUGAGGAUGACCGAGUUUCUUCGCUGACUUCAUCCACGUCUUCUUCUACUGUAUGAAUGCAGACGGUGUACCCAGAAGGGUCAGAGGGGGUCAUGCAGGAGAAAUGCAGGGGUUUCUCAGGGUUUUCAAAAUUCAUUCACACAAUAAACCUCCAGUCUUCUAACCCAGCUUCUAUCACUCUGA